rnacentral:lncRNA from 1 species
GAUUAAUUAGUAUGUCAGAUUCAGUGCUCUACAGAGAAGAAAAAAGAAAGCCAGGGAAGGAGAUAGAGUGGAGAGGGCUGUUUGGGAAGGCUUCCCUGAGGAGGUGACAUUUAAGCCAAGAUCUAAGGAAGUAAGACGUGGAUAUGGUGGAUAUAUGUGUGGUGGGGUUCGGGCUGGGGGGACAGCACUCCAGACCUAGUGUUCAGGGAUUCCUGAGAUGGCGGUGUGUGUGGUAGUGUGCAAGCAGACCAGUGGGGCUGGGCUGGCAGGAGAGAGGGGAGAACAGUGGCAGAUGAGGGCCUGGCUAAGGCUGGCUGUCUUUGCUGUGGGAACAGCACCCAUGUAGAUACUCAUCAGGACACAAUGGUCUGAUGUCUAGAAACAUGAACCUUACUCUCAGCCCCAUUGGAUGUGUGGUGCAGUGGUUAAGAGAUCGGAGCCUGAAUCAGAGUGAGCACGACUGGUUAUUACUGCGCUGUGGCCUUGUUUUAUUUCUCUUCCUCCUUUGACCGGUCCUCCCCACCCAGCGCCCUUCCCACCCUUGAAUCCCCUCGGCUUUCCCCCGGCUGCCACUUUGCCUGCCUCUGUGGCCUCCAACUCCACUCCACUUAAGAGAACGGGCUGGAGACUGCUGGAGGCUCUGAAGUGAUUUAUUGCUUCGCAGGAACUUCACACAACUUCCCAAGUUGAUUUUUGAGUUUUGAAAAUCAAACAAAGUUCAAAAAGUAAACAUCACAGGUUUGACAUCCCUGCCCGAAGCAGAGGAAAAACGUCUCUUGUUAAGGUUUUUGGCAUGUAACAGAAUGUAUGAGCGUUUUCAGUGUUUUGAUUUUCUUCCCCCGUCACUGUUAUUCCUCACCCCCCAGAGUGAGGUGUGCAGAAAUUAUGUUGGCCGGCUUCCAUGGUGACACUGAAGAGAAGUAAUUUUGCAAAGUAGGUUUCUACUGUGUUAUUUCACAUGCAUGAAACAUCAACAUCUAUGCUGUGUGGCUGUUACCCCUAAACGUAAAGACACAUAAAUGCUUGGAGUCUUUUAUAUAAAUAGACAAGUGGGGGUGAUAUUUUCCUUGGUCUUGUGCCGACGCCGGUAACAAAAGUCUCUCAGUUACUCAGGGCACCUGGGAGCGGGGAAGGAGAAGGGAACAGUUCUGCUCAGUGUUAAGCAACCUUCUUCUCUCCUAUGAAUAACCAUUAAAAGAAAAAAAAAAAAACAGCUCAAAUUUAAAGUCCACUCCCCUCCAACUUAAACUAGGGACCAGAUGAAAAGUGCCCUUUGGGGCUUAGUGUUCAAACAACCAGAAUUAAAAAGCCUGAAUGUCUGUUUUCAAUCUAACUUACGUGGUCGACCACUACAAGUAUUCCCUGUGUCUGUCCAGAGAGUCAUCUAGAACCUUCCAGUCCCAGGAAGCAUGCAGGUGCUUUCAAGAGGUAAGGUUGGGGUAAACAUACUUUUAGCAGCAAAAGCUGGGUGAAGUCUGUCUUGUCGUCCCCCUGUGACCCCAAUCUCCA